GGACUCCUGGACCACACAACCCUUGAGUUAUCACCGAGGCUGAGGCAGCAGGGAGACCAGAGCAGCCUGGGCAGCUCAGAGAUUGGAUGAGGGAGCCAGUGGAGCAAUGGAGGUCCCUGCUCGGCUGCCCACCCCACCCCCGACCAGGCCUCCCUCACUGAGGAGGUGCCUGUGGGAGAAGUGGGGCUGAUUCACACGGACCCAUCCCCAUCACGGGUGGCACGGCUUGCCAAGCACAUCAUCUUCCUGACAGGCCUGCAGUGCCAGCCUCUUAAAUAGAGCCCAGCCCUUUGGAAUGGUUUAUAGAUGGAGUUAUGGGAUGUCACUUACAUGCCAGUUGAAAAUCAAUUCUGGUAUCUUCUUUUCUUCCUGAGGAAUUCCUGCUUUUGCUCAGAUUAACCAGAUGGUUCCUUUGUUGGGCAUUUAAGACUCUCCCUUUUCAGGCAACUUCAUUUCAUAAGGGGUCAACUCCAGCGUGGGUGGGUCUAUAUUUUCUGGAGAGAAGCCCUGCACCCGGACGCUUGGCUGAGAGAGUAGGGUUGGCCUCAAGGCCACCAAUGUUGUUUAAAAGCCCCAGUGAGAGGAACAAUAUUUAGGGACUUUUGCUGGAAAGAGAUUGUGGCUCAUGGCCUCCUCCUGAUAGACUCAAAUAUGUCCCUUAAACAAGGUAGAGGUACAGAGAGCUGGGGUCUGGGCCACAUAUACUGGGCCCUCCCUAGAAUUUGCUUCCUCUUUGAUGGUGAUCCCAUCGGCUCACAUGGACGGAUGUGGUAAGAAACCCUGAAAGCACAUGACUUCGUCUGUUGUUAGGAUGUUGUUGCUGAGGACCUUUGGACUGAGUGACAAAGUGUCCACUGUGCGAAGACCCUUGGGGGAAUGCUCAUCUGGUCUCCAGCCCAGCGUUACUGACCCUCCUACUCAACCACUGGUCUUUGUAUCUCAUGGCAGUUUCAUGGAGUCCUUGGCUUCAGCUGCCUUCUGGAUCAGAAUUGCAAUUGGCCACAUGUAAUAGAAUCGCCGAGACCUUGGUCUAGUCAAGUCGGAGACGGUCCUCUUCACAUGCUGAUGAGCGCAGAGGCAGACCAUCCAGGGGCGGUGCAGGGACUCCACAGCGUCAUCGAUGUCUCCGAUUCCAACUGUUGUUUUACUCCACCAUCUGUGACCUGUGGCAUCUGGUCCCACGGCUGCCGCAGCUCCAGACUCAUGUGUGCAUUUCAGAUGGGGGAAGAGAGAAGAGUAGGGCCAAGCUGCAUGCCAUCCUAG
rnacentral:lncRNA from 1 species